AACGCACGAGACCUGCGGACCUGCGGAGGGAUCAUUACUGAGGAGGGUCCAUGGCCCGAUCUCCAACCCUUUGAUAAAAACACCACGUUGCUUUGGCAGGCCCGCCCGUUGGGGCCGCGGGGGAUCGCCGGUCCCUAGCCCGUGCCUGCCGGUAGCCUUCACAAAACUCUCAAAAUGUUGUCGUCUGAGAUGAUUAGAAUAAUAAAACUUUUAACAAUGGAUCUCUAGAUCGGAAGAGCA
rnacentral:misc_RNA from 1 species